rnacentral:rRNA from 1 species
UGUACCUACGGGGGGCAGCAGUGGGGAAUAUUGGGCAAUGGGCGCAAGCCUGACCCAGCAACGCCGCGUGAAGGAAGAAGGCUUUCGGGUUGUAAACUUCUUUUCUGAGGGACGAAGAAAGUGACGGUACCUCAGGAAUAAGCCACGGCUAACUACGUGCCAGCAGCCGCGGUAAUACGUAGGUGGCAAGCGUUAUCCGGAUUUAUUGGGUGUAAAGGGCGUGUAGGCGGGAAUGCAAGUCAGAUGUGAAAACUAUGG